UGAGUGAAGAAGGCCUUCGGGUUGUAAAGCUCUUUCGGCAGGAACGAAACGGCGAGCUCUAACAUAGCUCGCUAAUGACGGUACCUGAAGAAGAAGCACCGGCUAACUACGUGCCUGCAGCCGCGGUAAUACGUAGGGUGCGAGCGUUAAUCGGAAUUACUGGGCGUAAAGCGUGCGCAGGCGGUUGUGUAAGACAGGUGUGAAAUCCCCGGGCUUAACCUGGGAACUGCGCUUGUGACUGCACGACUAGAGUAUGGCAGAGGGGGGUGGAAUUCCACGUGUAGCAGUGAAAUGCGUAGAGAUGUGGAGGAACACCGAUGGCGAAGGCAGCCCCCUGGGCCAAUACUGACGCUCAUGCACGAAAGCGUGGGGAGCAAACAGGAUUAGAUACCCUGGUAGUCCACGCCCUAAACGA
rnacentral:rRNA from 1 species